rnacentral:ncRNA from 1 species
GUCAGGGGAGCGUUCAGUAAACGCUGAGAGGGAAUUAUACAUUCCGACCCUUUGAACCUGAUACGGAUAAUACCGGUGCAGGAAGACCUUUGA